AGUGAACGCUGGCGGCGUGCCUAAUACAUGCAAGUCGAGCGGACCUCUUCGGAGGUCAGCGGCGGACGGGUGAGUAACACGUGGGCAACCUGCCUGUAAGACUGGGAUAACACCGGGAAACCGGUGCUAAUACCGGAUAAUCCUUUUCCUCACAUGAGGGGCAGCUGAAAGACGGUUUCGGCUGUCAAUUAAAGAUGGGCCCGCGGCGCAUUAGCUAGUUGGGGGGGUAACGGCCCACCAAGGCGACGAUGCGUAGCCGACCUGAGAGGGUGAUCGGCCACACUGGGACUGAGACACGGCCCAGACUCCUACGGGAGGCAGCAGUAGGGAAUCUUCCGCAAUGGACGAAAGUCUGACGGAGCAACGCCGCGUGAGCGAAGAAGGCCUUCGGGUCGUAAAGCUCUGUUGUCAGGGAAGAACACGUACCGGAGUAACUGCCGGUACCUUGACGGUAUCUGACCAGAAAGCCACGGCUAACUACGUGCCAGCCGCCGCCGUAA
rnacentral:rRNA from 1 species